CUAACACGGCUGCUACUCUGAAACCUGAAGAAGGUGCGAACCUUGAGGAGCCUGUCAUCCACAUAGGGAAAGACAAUUAUUCUCAGGUGAUGAAUUAUUCUCAUGCAAUGGCUGAGAAGACCUUUGUGAAGACCCUCUAGGAGACUGAAAGGCCAAAGGGUGUACAGAUGCCAAGAGAUCACACAGUCACCCUAGAGUCUUUAAGUCAGUGGAGGGAACCAUUCAUGGCAUCACUGAAAAGCUUAGGCUUUUCAAAAGGAAGGUUCUCCAUGGUAUUUUGUAUCUCCCUGACAAGGCAGAGGAUUGCAACCAUGACACCUAAUGCAUGAUUACAGCAGUUGCCAUCAAAUGUGAAGCUGUAUGUGCCACAUUGAGAGAAGUCUGAAAGGAAGCCUUAAUGAUUAACUGGCCUUCUGGGAAGAGGGCUUGUAACUGCUCCCUCUGGUCUUGAGGCAAAUGUUCAGUGAAAUGUGAAAAUGUAAUGCAAUUUGUGAAGUCAUAUUUUGCAUAUGUGAUGGGGCUUAAGCCCCAUCACCUGCAAGGCUAGUGAAUGCACCCAAUUAGUCAUGCUCUGCAGCUGUGGGGGGAGCAGGUGAAUACUUCAUUGGCUCCCAGCCAGAAGGAGCAGAGCUAAGCCACAAAAUAAGUAGAUUGAAGGAGUUCAACUGAGGGGAGAGACUGCAGAAGAGUCAGGUGCCUCUAGCUGAGAGAAGUCCAGUGUUAGGGUAACAGAGAUAAUGGGGGCAGUCCCCUACAGGGGCUGCAUACACUCCUGCAAAGGAAGCCCUAAAACAAGAGUACAAGGAGAGGACUUCAGCAGCCCAAAAGGGCAGGAGAAUUAUCCAUAUUCAUUUGGACUUGUUCAUGAUACCCUGGAAGUGGUUUGAACUUUGUGACUUUGCCAGAGGACUGAGCCACUGGAGUCAGAAGCAGGAAGUCAGCAGGAGGCACUGAAGUCAAAGACAGCAGCAACAUCUCGCCCACCACACAGCAAGGCCUGAUAGUUCACAACUCUAAAUUGGAGAGCAACCAAUGAAUAGCUCUUGUAGCCUGUAAGGUCCAUGUACUUACAUUAUUUAUCAGAAGGCGUAUUGCUUAUUUCUUUCAUUGACAGCAACUAUCACCAAGGAGUUAGGGGUGGAAUUGGAGGGGGAAAAAAUACUCCAAAUCCUUGACCAGCAGAUAGUAUUUUUUGUCAAUCCAUUUGCAUGGGGCUGGGAUUGUUACUGCCAAACCAUACAGGCCGGUGAGAGUAAUGCCUCAAAUGGGCAAGGCAAACUUGCUCUGGGGAGAGGAAUGCAGAAUAUCCACCAGGAGUGUUGAGUUUCUUGUAUUUCCUCUAUUUAGCAAUUCUUUUCAUCAGAUCUCGAAAGACCCUAAUAUCAUCAUCUGCAUAGGAUGCUGGUACAGGCAUAACUGCCUUGCGGGGUGAGGAUGAUUUAUUACAUGGUGUCUCCUCCUCAGCUAUUAGCUCCUGUUCCUGGGGAGGAGGGUCCUGCAGUACUGCUGGCUUGAUGGAUCCUCUUACAUGAGGGUACCCUAUAAAACUGGUCACCAUAAGGGGUCCAGGGAUUGUGAAAAGCCCACUGUGAUAGAGCGCAGAGAAAGGGAACAGGACCCAAGCGGUUCCUGCCAGGGUUGGUGUGGGGUCCCUGGGGUCUCAUCCUCAGGAUACAACUCUAAGAAGGAAAGUUGGAAUGGGAAUGUGAUGGAGUCCUAGACAGAAAUGUCCGAGAAUUGUCAUCUCCUGUAUCUAACAGGAGCCACCAGUAUCCAUACCGGUGUUCAAGGCGGGACUGACAACCAAGUCAGUACUGGAGGCAGAGUCUUUGUAUGGGGGCGCAGUAGCACUGAUAGGGAUUCCAUCUCUGGAAGGCAUGUUGGUACCAAUAAGUGAUCCCUCCCAGUACCCCUUAGCAAAGGAGAUUCAGGUUCCUUCAUGGCUUGGAUAUCCUCAUGGGAGUGGAACCUAGUCGGUACCAGAGAACCUGGGUACAGUUCUACAGGAACAUCAGGUGGUACCAAAGACAAUACAUAACAGUGUGUAUUCUUUGUCACCAUAACCUGAGGAAGAGGGAACUGGAGCAGAGGUCAAAGCUGAUUUUUUUUAAAGGAGUGUUUGUUCCUCAAGGAGUCCUUGCAUGUGGAGGGCUCUGAUUCAAGUACUGGCAAUGGCCGCUCAAGGCUGAUUACGAGAAGACUUCUUGUUGUGGGUUGAGCUGGAAGUCUUUGGGAGGUACCAGCAUCUCGGUACAAGGCUGGUACAUGCCUCAGCAGUACUUGCACUGGGACGCAAGGUCUCCUUGUCCGCUGGCCUUACAGGUGACUUUCCCCUUUUUCGGAGGCUCUCUCCAAGUAAUCAAGUUUUUUCUUUUUUGAAUGCUUCAAAGCGUUUGAAGCUUUCCCAGGGUCUCUACUUAUCAAGAUUGAAGAAGUCACCAGAGUACCCCGAGCAGCUGAGGUCAGUGUAGGGGGACGGAGGGGGAUUUCAAUCCCAUGGGUCUCAUGGAAUGUUCCAAGAGGAGACACUUCAGUCUGUCUUCCCUCAUUUUCCUAGACCUGCUCUUGAAACCUGAACAGACCAUGCACUAAAAACAAGACUAGGAAUUCUCCAGUGCAGUGGAGGCAGCUGGAAUGCCCAUUGCUGAGAGAGAAAGACCUGUGGUAGGUCUGGCAGGAUUUGAAACUUCAGGGCUUUGGCAUAACCCACACAGGGCAGGCCACAAAACAAAACAGGAGCCAAGGACUGCGGGGGGAAACAAAGGGGGAAACAAAGUGGGGAGUGGAGGGACCCCCCCAGAUGCACAAACUUGUGCUAAAAACAAUAAACAAAAUAAGAACCAAAUAAAAGGAGCCGCAGGCAGCUGAGAAGAAACUGGAAUGGCAGUGGGUCUAGUUCUCCCAAUAUUACUAGAGCAUGAGGAUGUGAUGGGUGCACAUGCUGACACAGUUGCCAAAAAUCUAUCAAAAGUGCACCGGCAUGCACACAUCCUAAUGUGGAGCACCCAUCAGACAAUAAUUCAAAAAAUAAUUCAAACUUCAAAAAUCUGCUGGUAACUAGCCUCUAAUACCUUUAGUAAAAAUAGAAAUUAUUCUGUAACAUUACCUGUUCCCAAAUUUACCAGCUGUAGGUGAUUGUUACAAUAGUAUAGAAUUAAUUAGACAUUCCAGUAAUGCAGUAAAAUACUAUGGGCCUGAUGCAAAGCACAUUGAAGUCAAUGGCAAGACUCCAAUUUGGCUUUCCAUUUAGGCCCUUUAUAAGCCAGUAACAUUGUAUUAUUCUAAAUCUCUAAGCUACCUGUAAUCACAGAGCAGGGCUAACUAUGAAUAUGCUAUUUUAUGCAUAUUCAUAAAAGUAGACAGUAAUAAGUGUUUUCCAGCAACUCAUACCGGGUCUGAUUCUGACUAAUAUUAGCAUAAACAAGGAGUAAGUCUAUUGAAUUCAACGAAUCUACACAGUUUAAAAUGUAUAGAUUUUUUUUUUGUUCAGACUAAUGAAUAUUCUGUUCAUUGAAAUAGUCAUCAUGUGUGAUUAAAAUGAUCCUUUUUCAAUCUGGCAACAUAUUUCAAAUAGUUGCGUGCACAGACAAGUAGGUUAAAGUCAAAAGUUUCGAAUGCGCUUUCUAGCAACCUUUUACCAAAAACUAUAGUGCAGGGAUCAGCAACCUUUGGCACGCGGUUCGCCAGGGUAAGCUUAUAGUGCAUUCCCUUCCCUCUAAAACAUUUCUCCUAUGUCUAAAAUGUCUCUCGACAGGGAAUUCCCAGACUUUUCUCUGUUGUGACCCCUCUUUUAAAAUAUCAAAAUAUUUGUGACUUGCUUAUACUUUUAUUUGUUUACACAGGGCCAAAUUUAUCAAAGCUGGUGCUGGGACAGGUAAAGUUCACCUUCCUGAGCCAGCUAAAUCCAUUGUCCCAGAGAGGAGAUUCAGUACUCUGCAGGACAAUCUGAAUUCUUGUCACCAUACAUUCCCUAUUGUGAAUGGGUGUUUACAAGGCCUGGCAUACUUGACAGCAAGCUGGAACUAAAUUCUGUGCAAGAACUUCAGUUCUACAUCACUCUGGUGUAGUA